rnacentral:rRNA from 1 species
AGAGUUUGAUCCUGGCUCAGAUUGAACGCUGGCGGCAUGCCUUACACAUGCAAGUCGAACGGUAGCGGGCCUUCGGGUGCCGACGAGUGGCGAACGGGUGAGUAAUGCAUCGGAACGUGCCAUUGAGUGGGGGAUAACGUAGCGAAAGUUACGCUAAUACCGCAUAUUCUGUGAGCAGGAAAGCAGGGGACCGCAAGGCCUUGCGCUCUUUGAGCGGCCGAUGUCGGAUUAGCUAGUUGGCGGGGUAAAGGCCCACCAAGGCGACGAUCCGUAGCGGGUCUGAGAGGAUGAUCCGCCACACUGGGACUGAGACACGGCCCAGACUCCUACGGGAGGCAGCAGUGGGGAAUUUUGGACAAUGGGGGCAACCCUGAUCCAGCCAUGCCGCGUGAGUGAAGAAGGCCUUCGGGUUGUAAAGCUCUUUCGGCCGGGAAAAAAUCGCCUCUCCGAAUACGGGGGGUGGAUGAUG